rnacentral:snRNA from 1 species
UCGCUGGUUGCUGUCGCU